GCCCCCAUAGCUUAAAACCUCAAAGCAUGGCACUGAAGAUGCCAAGAUGGUAUGCGCUGCCUACCUGGGGAC
rnacentral:tRNA from 1 species